GUGGUGUUCAAACAUCACUUUCUGGGUCAAUCGAUGUCUUAACUACAUUUUAAAAAAAAAAUAUGCGCGUCCCCAAUUGUUUCCCACCGGUUACCAAAUAAUUCCCCCGCCUUUCGAAAUUUUUCCCAACCUUCAAAUCUUUUCGGCAGAAAUAAAAAACAACAAAAACAAAAAUCCUAACAAACAAAUAUAAACACACCCACAGAACUCUCUCCCUUCGACUUUCUCAAACUCAAACUCACGUCCAUCUCUCUCAACUCUCUCAAACAGUAUGAACCCUAAUUCCUCUCUACACUCCACAACUCGGUCUCUCCGCAGCUUUCAAUCUCUACAAGCUCAGCCUCAUCUCUCCAAACCUCAGUCUCUCUUCAACGAAGCUUAUCAAAAUCAAAACUACCCUCUCGCUCCCAAGGUUAAAGCUGCUAUCUCGGUGUACAAAGGUCGAAAGCUCAGUUAUAUAUAUUAUGGGUUGAGGCUGAUGACACUAGCGAUCAUAUCGUUCCAUUUCCUCGUGGAUGUGAAGAACUACCUGCAGAUGUGCCGAAGAUCUUACUAAGAAGCCAAAAAAUAAAGAGAUUGCCAAUGGGAAAAUGUCAAAGCAGAAGAAGCAUGUUUUAUUCGAGUGAGUUAGACGGGGUUAAACAAGAGAUAUCUUUCGAAUGUUAUAAUAAUAAAUUUCUUUCAGCUGCCGGAGACAGUGUAGACUCAUGGAACAAAUCCUUGGCCAAGGCUUCCAAGAAUUCGAGGGGUGAAGCUGUUUACUUGUACUCUAUCUAUUAGUUCAGUCAAAUCAUAAACUUCAGCACGGCGGUGGAGAAGCAUCUGAAGCUGAUUUUUUUGAGGUUUACAACGUGGUUCUGUAUCUUGGCAUAGUUGGCAUAAUUGUGUAUGUUUUGAUUUCAUGUUGUCGGAUAUUUUGGCUAGUGUACAAUUAGAAUUAGAAAAGAUGGAUGAAUAUUUCUUGUAAUUGAUGUUUGGAUUAGAUGAAAAUGUUGUACUUUUUGAUGUUUGGAUAUUGGUUGGCUGGAUAUGUAUAUAAUUGAUAUUAUGCAGUAA